CAGCAGGUUUAUAAUGACAAAGUUACUUCAUCGUUUUCAAAGUUAAUUGAAACAAAGGCAGCGUAUUUCAACAGAAAUAUGGUAUCAAAAAGGAUUAAAA